GUUAUCCAAGUUGCCAUGGUGACAUAGAUUGGAGACUAUUCAUACAGAACAUUGGCGGAUUGCAGGGAUUGAACCACAUAGUGUGUGGUUACCAUGGAAACGUAUAUCUACAUAAAGGCAAUGGUAUAAAUGAAUGACCGACGUUCAGAUGUACAAAGUUAUACAGCAGAUUUUGGAGCAUGUAGGGUGUGUAUGUUUACUUUUUAGCUCAUAUGAUUUUUUGGAAAAAAUGAUGAGUUAUUGUCAUCACUUGAGCGGUUGUCUGCGUCGGCGUCGGCGUUGCCUGGUUAAGUUUUAUGUUUAGGUCAGCUUUUCUCCUAAACUAUCAAAGCUAUUGCUUUGAAACUUGGAAUACUUGUUCACCAUCAUAAGCUGACCCUGUAUAGCAAGAAACAUAACUCCAUCUUGGUUUUUUGCAAGAUUUAUGGCCCCUUUUGUACUUAGAAAAUAUCAGAUUUCUUGGUUAAGUUUUAUGUUUAGGUCAACUUUUCUCCUAAACUAUCAAAGCUAUUGCUUUGAAACUUGGAAUACUUGUUCACCAUCAUAAGCUGACGCUGUAUAGCAAGAAACAUAACUCCAUCUUGGUUUUUUGCAAGAUUUAUGGCCCCUUUUGAACUUAGAAAAUAUCAGAUUUCUUGGUUAAGUUUUAUGUUUAGGUCAACUUUUCUCCUAAACUAUCAAAGCUAUUGCUUUGAAACUUGGAAUACUUGUUCACCAUCAUAAGCAGACCCUGUACAUCAAGAAACAUAACUCCAUCUUGCUUUUUGCAAGAAUUAUUGCCCCUUUUUGACUUAGAAAAUCAGUUUUCUUGGUUAAGUUUUAUGUUUAGGUCAGCUUUUAUCCUAAACUAUCAAAGCUAUUGCUUUAAAACUUGCAACCUUGUUCACCAUCAUAAGCUGACCCUGUACAGCAAGAAACAUAACUCCAUCCUGCUUUUUGCAAGAUUUAUGGCCCCGUUUGGACUUAGAAAAUAUCAGAUUUCUUGGUUAAGUUUUAUGUUUAGGUCAACUUUUUCUCUUAAACCAUCAAAGCUAUUGCUUUAAAACUUGCAACUCUUGUUCACCAUCAUAAGCUGACCCUGUACAGCAAGCAACAUAACUCCAUCCUGCUUUUUGCAAUAAUUAUUGCCCCUUUUGGACUUAGAAAAAUCAUUUUCUUGGUUGAAUAUUAUGUUUAAGUCAACUUUUCUCAUAAACUAUCGAAGCUAUUGCUUUAAAACUUGCAACAGUUUUUUACCAUCAUAAGUGGACACUGUACAUCAAGAAACAUAACUCUAUCCUGCUUUUUGCAAGAAUGAUGGCCCUUUUUAGACUUAGAAAAUCAUGGGUAGGACAAUAUUUCUAUUAUACAAAAAAAACCAGAUGAGCGUCAGCACCCGCAAGGCGGUGCUCUUGUUUUAUUUUUUGUGGCAACACUUGGAUUUAUUUGUUUAUGUCUAUCUGUAUCUAUUCACACAAUAGGGCUUUCGUGGAAAAGUUACAUAUUCAUCGAUCUAGGCAAUGGUAAAAUGGAUGACCGGCGUUCAGAUGUACAAAGUUAUACAACAGAUUUUGGAGCAUGUAGGGUGUGUAUGUUUAUUUUUUUUAUUUUUUUUUGUGGCAACACUUGGAUAUAUUUGUUUAUGCCUGUCUGUAUCUAUACAAUAACAGGGUUGCCAUGGAAACUUACAUCUCCAUCUAAGCAGUGGUAUAAUGGCAAUCGUGCAACAUCGGGCAUUUCCGUAUUCUCCGGUAAAUACGUCUAUUGCGUAGCAUAAAGGCCGAGGUGAUCAGAUUGGUAUAAUGGAUAACCGGCGUUCAGAUGUAAAAGUUAUACAUAUACAGCAGGUUUUAGAGCAUACAGGGUAUGUAUGUAUGUUUAUUUUUUCUUUCUUGUGACAACACUUUGAUAUAUUUGUGUCUCUUUUUUUCUAUUGAUAUAGUUUGUUUCUCUAUACAUACAACAGGGUUAUCAUGGAAACUUACAUCUACAUCUUAACAAUGGUAUAAAUGGAUGACCUACGUCCAAGUCGUCUACAAACAGCAGUGAGAGAAAUCCUGCAACCGAUCACGUGGUUAACGCUUAGCUUUAAAUUGUCUAAGCCUUACUAAGACCUGUAAAUUAAUUCAGACAAAAAUUGAAUUUAAACAAAAAUGUAGAUAAUAUGUGCGCUUAUUGCGAACACGAUCUACCUUCGUAAUACUGUGCGUUCGAUGUUUGCUGUUUUGUCAGGGUUAUGUUUACAGUGGGUACUUGGUGGUGUUUGUGGUGGUGUUUGUGUGGUUGUGAUGGUGUUUUUGUGUUUGUGGUGGUGUUUGUAUGUUUGUGGUGGUGCUUGUGGUGGUGUUUUAGUGUUUGUGUUGGUGUUUAUGGUGUCUUGAAUGUGAUCUUCUUGGUUGUAUAUGAUAUGGUUUGUGUUGUUUUGUCAAAAAGGGUUUUGGUUGGUGCGAAUUGUUUGUCGCAUUGGGUUCUUCGUCUUCCGUUCUGUUUCAACGUGUUUUUUCUGCCAUUAGCAAUAAAUGAUUACUAGAUUUGUUCCUGACAGAAUUGUUAGAAUCAGCUAAAUAUUGCGGUGUGUUUUAAUACAUAUCCCAUUAAUUUUAGAUAUACCAUGAAAUGUGCAGACGACAGACAUAAGGUGCAGACGACAUCUGGGUAAGCGCGCGCAGUUGUUCUAUGCUAUUUCUGCUUUCACAAGUUAUUCUUUCUGUUUUGUAUUGCUGUUUUUUUUACUAGAAUGCUAGGGUACUUGGAGAAUAAAGACGCAGAUGGAUAUGGAGAUGCAUACCAAACGAAAUGUGCGUUUCUCUUUAUCAAGAACAGGUAUGUGUAUUGCUACUUAUGUUGUCCUAUUUUAUAUAAUUUCUCUGCAGAAUUUUCGAAAAUGGUGGCUGAUGUUGACUACAAGCAACUGUGUUGUAGAUAUCACAAUGGUUUAAUGGAUGGUGCGGCUAUGGUGCUCGAAAAUGAGUACAGGCACGUUCGCGGAUGUCAUUUUGUGGAUUUCACAAUCAUUUAUUGGAGGUUACAGCUAUGGUGGCUGAUGUUGACUAUACAAGGACGUGCAAGGAUGUCACAUUGUAGAUUUCAAAAUGGUUUAGUGGACGGUGCAGCAUGGUCCUUUUUCUUUGGCGGAUUGAGCAGGAAGAAAAUUUCAAUUGAUGGAACUGCAGUUGCUGUAACAUUGCCUUGGUGGUACCAUAAUGAUGUCAAUAACCAGAAGUGCACUGGUUCCCUAUCGAUGCCGGUUACCAGAGACGCGCUGGUACCCUAUCGUUGCCAGUCAUCAGAGGUGUGCUAGGCCCAUUAUGUGAACAUAGUAAUCAGCUGUUUUCAACAAGAUUACUGCGAGUCACUAUUGUGUUCACUGUAAAAAACCUGUGGAAAAUGACAGUACUUGAAAAUGCAGCUCUCUGAUUGGUCAGUUAGAAUUCCUAACCCGUGAAUACUAGUUUAUAAAGGCAAGAAGACAUUGUUUGGCAUUAUUGAAAGACAAAGAAAAAGAAUCGAUUGCAGGAAACAGAUAUCAUGCCGUCCUGUGUUGUUUUUAACAGCUUACAGUCCGAUGCAUGUCAUAUUGAUUCUAAACACAAGUAAAAAUAUUUGUAAAAGGAAGGACAAAGUAUGGUGAAUCCGCGAUAGACCUGACACAAGCACACAAACAUGACACCACUACAGCCGCCCUGACACAAGCAUAGUUAAACAAACUAGACAUUAGCUGACAUGUAUACAUGUAUAAUUAUACCUCACGUACAAAGUAUAUGGGGCUAUAUUGGAGUCACGCAUGUCCAACGGUCCGUUCGUCAGUCCUUCCAUCCAUCCAUCCGUCCAUUAUGUCCGCUGGGAAGAUUUUCACAACACUGGCGUCAAAUAUUAACAUCGUCAAAAAGAUGUGCGUAGCGUACAACUCUGGUCACUAGGCUCAAAGUCAAGGUUAAGUCUGAAGGUCAAAUAAAUAAAUAUGCUUUUUACAUCUCUCAUACAUUGUAUCUCAUCCCCAUCUUUCCCCCCCCCCACCACCACUCUCCUGCUCCACCCCUCUUUCUUUUAUAAUUUUCAUCUUUCACACUUCCUAUGCAAUCGUGUAGAAUCUAGAAUGUAACACUGCUACGCCUAGCCACUUCCUGAAAACCUUUCUCAUACAUUUCACGCACUAACUUAUAUCUCAUAUUGUUUCUUAGUUUCCCUCAUUCCCCCGCGCAUACACGCCCUUCCCUGUCCCCUCCUCUCCCACCUAAACUUUACGUUUUUCAUCUUUAUACAUGUAUAAUAAUAUCUUGGUAAACAUUUUCGAGUAGUCGAGCGGGCACAACUCAGAUCAUUAGGUCCAAUGUCAAGAUCCGUGGUAUUAAUCAGUGAUUGAUCUAUUUGAUCAUGUGUGCCUAAUAUGUUACAUUGCUGAAUUGUAUUAACAUAUGGAUUUACUCCUCUGUGUGUGUGUGUGUGUGUGUGUCACAAAUCUUGUCCGCACUCUUAAGUCGAACAUUUCUCAUCCGAUCUUCAUCAAUCUUGAACAAAAUAAGUUUGCCAGUAAAUCCUCGGCCAAGUUCAAUAACUAGCCAAAUCGGCCCAGGCACUUCGGAAUUAUGGCCCUUAAACCUUGUUUUGAUAAUCAAAGCACUGAAAGUCUGACAAGGCAGUUGAGGUCUUGGUGCAUGGUUGACUCAUAUACUACUACUCAGAUGAUUAGGCAUUUGUGGGAGACAUGCGCUUUUCUCAAAAGCAGCUCUAGUUCCUAAUGAAAUUUUUUGCAUCUUUAUUUUUACCGUUUUCUUUUAUAGAUAUUUUUUUGAACACAAAAUGCACAUUUGACUUUGAUCAAAAGGCACAUAGAAUAUUGAUUGGACCAUUAUUUAAACUGGACAAUGGGUAGUUUUCAAAAAUAAAUAUACGUGGAUCAAUUCAUGUACAAAAAGCCACUUUCGCAAAUAAUAAAAUUGGAAUGGGAUAUUAAAUAUGAUAUUUGUGUGUUCCAGUGUAAGAUCGAAAUAACGAAUAAUUCUAGAUACAGCUAGCGAAAAUGUAAACUCUAGAGAAAAACGAGAAAUAUAAUUCGAUUUUACAUAAAAAAACAAAGAAAUUUUAUUUCAUUCAUUUAAAUGUUUGUGUAAUAAAUUAUACACAUUCUGUCAGUGUAACGUCACACGCAAUAUGCAACGUUGCGCUAGUUUUUAGCUCAUCUGAUUUUUUGAAAAAAAGUGAUGAGUUAUUGUCAUCACUUGAGCGGUUGUCGGCGUCGGCGUCGGCGUCUGCGUCGGCGUUGCCUGGUUAAGUUUUAUGUUUAGGUCAGCUUUUCUCCUAAACUAUCAAAGCUAUUGCUUUGAAACUUGGAAUACUUGUUCACCAUCAUAAGCUGACCCUGUAUAGCAAGAAACAUAACUCCAUCUUGCUUUUUGCAAGAUUUAUGGCCCCUUUUGUACUUAGAAAAUAUCAGAUUUCUUGGUUAAGUUUUAUGUUUAGGUCAACUUUUCUCCUAAACUAUGAAAGCUAUUGCUUUGAAACUUGGAAUACUUGUUCACCAUCAUAAGCAGACCCUUUACAUCAAGAAACAUAACUCCAUCUUGCUUUUUGCAAGAAUUAUUGCCCCUUUUGGACUUAGAAAAUCAGUUUUCUUGGUUAAGUUUUAUGCUUAGGUCAGCUUUUAUCCUAAACUAUCAAAGCUAUUGCUUUAAAACUUGCAACACUUGUUCACCAUCAUAGGCUGACCCUGUACAGCAAGAAACAUAACUCCAUCCUGCUUUUUGCAAGAUUUAUGGCCCCUUUUGGACUUAGAAAAUAUCAGAUUUCUUGGUUAAGUAUUAUGUUUAGGUAAACUUUUUCUCUUAAACUAUCAAAGCUAUUGCUUUGAAACUUGCAACACUUGUUCACCAUCAUAAGCUGACCCUGUACAGCAAGCAACAUAACUCCAUCCUGCUUUUUGCAAUAAUUAUUGCCCCUUUUGGACUUAGAAAAAUCAUUUUCUUGGUUGAAUAUUAUGUUUAAGUCAACUUUUCUCAUAAACUAUCAAAGCUAUUGCUUUAAAACUUGCAACAAUUUUUCACCAUCAUAAGUGGACACUGUACAUUAAGAAACAUAACUCUAUCCUGCUUUUUGCAAGAAUGAUGGCCCUUUUUAGACUUAGAAAAUCAUGGGUAGGACAAUAUUUCUAUUAUACAAAAAAAAUCAGAUGAGCGUCAGCACCCGCAAGGCGGUGCUCUUGUUAUAGUAUAUAAUUUUGGAAAAAGUUCUACGAGAUUGAUUUCUUUUACAUUUUGAUAUAGCUUUUUCUAAUGUUUCUUACGUUAAAAAAUGUCAGAUUACAUGUUAUUAAUAUGCUUUCGCGUUAACUUGAUGUUGCGUGCAAGUGAAAUUGUAUUUGGGUUUCCCACCUCUGAAACAGUGGGUUUAUCAGGGUAUAAUGUAUCGUUAUAUUUCAGUAAUACUCUGAAAGCUUGACAAGAAAUUUCAUACUCUAGUAACUUUUAAAUGCACAGAUAAAAUCAUAGCCCUUUUAUUCAAACACACAUUCAAUUUGUCUGGGUCGUUUAAAUGUAGCUUUUUAAAGUCAUUUUGGCCCCAUUUCUUGUUCACUGAAUUUUACACUGUUUGGCAUAACUCUUAACCGGCACCUAACUCUGAGCACUAACAUUAACCUUGUGGGCUGAAUUGACUUUUAAAGCAACAUUUAUAUGAUUUAUAUAUUAAACUUUAGACUGGUAUAUAUUUCGGAAUGAUGGAUAAAAUGAUGCGCUUAUCAAAUGUUUAGUAGAAUUAUGGGCAAAAUUUUAGGUUUUUAGUCCGCGCUUUUAAAAUAUUACUGGAAUAUAACUUUAGAUUAUAACAUGACAAACUCAUUGUUUCAAACGGAGAGAUAUCCAAAUAUGAUUUUCACUAGUACGGAACUUCACUUGAACGCGAAACAAUGAUAUGAAUUGUAAGUACUGGAAAUGUACUUCAAAAACACAAAAAUGUAUAGUAAUGAUAACAAAAAAUAUUAUGAUUACAUAUGAAAACCAUCAAAAUGUAAAAGAAACAUACACAUAUUCAUUUUUUUCCAACAUAAGCAUUGUGACAUGAAAUUUAGCGUGACAUUACACAUGUCUCUGCCCUGUUAAAUAAGAUAAGAGAAGAUGAGAUAAAUUUAUUUUAUCUCAUAUAUGAUAUAAAAAAAACAACAUAAUUAUGCUCUGAAUGGGCUUUAUAACUGACAAAUGUAAGAAAUAAAUACAGUGUGUAAUACUGAAUGGUCUUUCACUCUACUUGCAGAAAGAUAAUUUAAUCUUAUACUGAAACAAACAAAUGCCCUCUUUCUAUAUCUUUUUACAGCAAUAGUUGGGAACAAGCAUCAAUGUUUAAAAACGGUUUAAAAAUAAGGUGAUACAACCUAGGACAAAACUCAGUAUAACUGUUGACAUUUUUGUUUUAUAAUUCCAGGAAGGGUGCCUUUCACAUUUGAAAAUUUACUAUUUUGAAAUGACUGCUAAAAUUUCAUUAUCUGCAUAAAUUUUAAGAGUGUAUUUUCAUAUUUGCCUUUCCUAUCUAUCAUUCAUGCCUGUCUUACAUAUCUAUUUAUUAUUCCCCGCCGAAGGCGGUGUGAUAUAGUUUUGGUGUCGUCCGUCCGUCUUUCCGUCCGUCCGUCCGGAGCCAUAUCUAGGAAGUGGUUUGGAAUAUUUAAAUAAAACUUCAUAUACAUGUUAACUACUAUAGAGAAUUGUGGCCUGUCAAGUUUCAGUCAGAUUGCCCAAGUAACACCGACGUUAUGGCCCUUAGACGUUUCUAGUGUUAACUAUAUAAGAUACUAUAAAUAUGGCAAUUUCUGCUUCAUAACUUGUGACAUAUUUGUCCUAGAACUAUGAAACUUUAGAUGAAUUUAGAUCACCAUAAUGUGGUAAUGCACACUCAAUUUCGUCAGGAUAUCUUUAGUAACUUCAGAGUUAUUGCCCUUUAAUUGUUUAAAAAUCCACAUAUUUGUACAUAAACUAACCAAUUGGUAGAAUUUCAUUAAAUUUCUUUCAUUUUUUUCCAUGAACAUUUAUUAUCAACAUGUGAAGUUGUGUAUCCAGACACGGGUACCCCCAACACCCUGGUCACACCCUUCCCCCACACACAUUUUUUUCUUCACUUUUUUCAACCAAAUCUUCCAUGAAUAUUUAUCAACAUGCAAAGUUGUACCCUUCCCCCACCUCGCUCCUCCACCCAGUCACCCACACGACCCCAAUCAUGCACCCCCUCCCCCCGCAACAGUUUCUUUCCAUUUUUCAAUUAUCAACAUGUGAAGUUUUGUACCCUCACACCCGCCCCCCCCCCUCCCCCACAAAAAAAAUUGAUAAAUAAAUAAAUUUUUCAAACCUUUCAUGAAUAUUUAUCAACAUGUGAAGUUGUAAAUCCCCACCACACGUCACCACCCACGUUCCAGAUUUCUUACUUGAUUGUGCUCUCUUAAUUAAGGACUUCUGUUCUUUUAAGUUCAAAUGUAAUGAAAUUAUUUCUCCCUAGUAUUGCUAGUAACAUCCUAAACUUUUUACCGGAUAUAUUUCUUUGCCAUUCCUCAACCCAAAACCCAUUCGGCAGGGGAUACCAAUUCAUCGACUUUGCUUGUUAUGUACAUUUUAUACUUUGUAUCAUAGUAAUGUAUAGUUUUCCUGCUUGCUGAUUGUUUCUUCAUGACAAGUCAAAACUUUAAAUGUAUUUGUGAGCUUACAAUUAUUUCUCCAGAAGUUUUAAAUAACUGUUUGAGGUGAAAGCAUAAUUUAAUUCAAUGAAUUGUUGUGUAUGUAUUGCAUUUUAAAAGUAUUUUUUCAAAAGUUGACUACUAUAAUCAUACUUUACAAUAUCAUUGUUGACUGUGUUGUUUAUUGCUGCUUAAAAAUUAAUAAAACGCCAUACAGUUGU